rnacentral:rRNA from 1 species
UACGUAGGUGACCAGCGUUGUCCGGAUUUACUGGGCGUAAAGAGCGCGCAGGCGGUCGUUCAAGUCGAGUGUGAAAGCCCCCGGCUCAACUGGGGAGGGUCACUCGAUACUGAUCGACUUGAAGGCAGGAGAGGGAAGCGGAAUUCCCGGUGUAGUGGUGAAAUGCGUAGAUAUCGGGAGGAACACCAGUGGCGAAGGCGACUACCUGGCCUGUUCUGACGCUGAGGCGCGAAAGCGUGGGGAGCAAACAGG